GAUUGCUGCGAUGUCGUUGCAAACGCGUGUGGUAGAGUUACAGGCCGCAACUUCAAAAACAAAACAUUUUAAGCGCUCUUAAAAACUAAAAUUGUUUUCGUAGAGUAAUUUUUUGACCUGUUUCGCAUCCGUUAGUUUAUGGGUUAAUGCUCGAUUGGAUGGUAUUUUUCCUUGGUGUGUUUGGAGGUAGGGGAGCUAGGGGCUUGAUGUAACAGGGAUGGAUUUUCAAGCGACUGUUAGCUCUAACCAAAAGCAGUCAAGAAAAGCUAAGAAGAAAAGACGACUUAAGAAACUUUAAAGAAUAAAAAGAUACUUACUUUUAAUUUCGGUUUAUUUAACACUAGAACGACUGACAUUUUCUGUAUAUCUAGAAAGACUGAAGGGGCCAGUGUGGCCCCUACCCAUUCUUGGAGUGAAUUCUUUUCAAAAUUCUUCCUGAGGAAGUUCACAUGCCUGA